GACGAACGCUGGCGGCGUGCUUAACACAUGCAAGUCGAACGGAAAGGCCCUGCUUUUGUGGGGUGCUCGAGUGGCGAACGGGUGAGUAACACGUGAGUAACCUGCCCUUGACUUUGGGAUAACUUCAGGAAACUGGGGCUAAUACCGGAUAGGAGCUCCUGCUGCAUGGUGGGGGGUGGAGAGUUUCGGCGGUUGGGGGUGGACUCGCGGCUUAUCAGCUUGUUGGUGGGGUAGUGGCUUACCAAGGCUUUGACGGGUAGCCGGCCUGAGAGGGUGACGGGCACCAUUGGGACUGAGAUCCGGCCCAGACUCCUACGGGAGGCAGCAGUGGGAAAUAUUGCACAAUGGGCGGAAGCCUGAUGCAGCAACGCCGCGUGCGGGAUGACGGCCUUCGGGUUGUAACCCGCUUUCGCAUGUGCCGAAGCGUGAGUGACGGUACUGGGUAAAGAAGCACCGGCUAACUACGUG
rnacentral:rRNA from 1 species